AAGUAGUCGAGAGGACCCCAAAUCUUCCCUAUUCCUUCAAGGAUCCAUUUGUGUUACCUCCACUAUGACCUGUCCCCGACUCCAGGAAGACUCCAGAUUGAUUGGGAUCUGCACCUGGAGCUGGGGACGGGAUUGACAUGUAAGCAGAGA
rnacentral:lncRNA from 1 species